ACACACGCAAACCUCCUCUGAUACCUCGGGGAUACCACCAGAACGGACGAUUUCCAAGCACAGCCAUGGCUAGCCUGCAUGGAGCUCUGACGGGGAACCAGGGAGUGUUCUUUGAGAGGAUUUUGGUGACUGCUCUCUAACAGUCCUAGCAGGUCAGUGUGAUCAUAAUAUGCAUUUUUACAGUUGUGGCAGCCGAGGCACAGAGAAGUUAAGCGACUUAUCCAACAUCACACAUUAUAUCGCUUGUGUAAAAUUAUAGACGGCCCCCCUCUCUCACCCUCCCCCCAGCUUCCUGGCUCAGGGUCCUCUAAGCAAAAUGCUAUAGCAGGAAGGGGAGAGGAGAUCAGCCGGUGGGAUGCCUGAGGAGAAAACAAAGGGAGGCUCUUAAAGUCAAGGCAAGCAUGGUGUCUCCGGGGACAGUGCCAUUUCUCCCCGGUGAAGUAUCAGUCAAGCUCCCCAGCCUCAGAGGCCUGUCCAGGGCUCCGCGCUGCCAGGGUCACAUUGCUCAACUGCCUGUAGGGGUGCUGCAGUCCUGGAAGGAAGCCCAGGCUGCCAGGCCCCGACAAUCUUCUACUCAAAGACAGAGGUGAAUGUCAUCCCUGGGUAAAUUCUCCUUCCAAUGACCUUUCCAAGUGAUCCUGUCUUCACUACAGUCCGUGAUGCCCAGGACUGGAUGCCUUAUCAGCAAAAUGCACCUCUUUUUAGUUUAUGCUGCCUAUUUUCCCUGAAGAAUGAAGCUCUGUCUGACCCACAUAAUAUAGGGGAAAUGUUUGUAACUGUGAGGUCACUGUCUUUUGUUGGAAAUUAAAAAGCAGAGAGGACAUAUGCCAACGCCCACCUCUGGGAUUUCUUCCCUUGUCUCUCAAUAGAGUAGUAGAGCCUCUUAGACCUCAGACCAUUCACCGGUAUCAUUGGUUGUCAAGACGAUGAACACUUCUAGCCCUAAAUCAUGUACUAUCACAGUCAUUUGGUUUAAAAAUAUAUGGACAGUUUCAAUAAAAUGGACGACUAGAUUAACUUAACUUUUUUUUAAA